UAUCUCUGUAGAGUCUGCAUAUCAAUAAGCGGAGGAAAAGAAACUAACUAGGAUUCCCUUAGUAACGGCGAGUGAAGCGGGAAGAGCUCAAAUUUGAAAUCUUCAAGGUUUUACCUUGACGAAUUGUAGUUUAAAGAAGUGUUUUCUGUUGGAGUUUUGGUAAAAGUUCUUUGGAAUAGGACAUCAUAGAGGGUGAGAAUCCCGUAUUUGACCAUUACUUCCAGCGUUGUGAUACACUUUCAAAGAGUCGGAUUGUUUGGGAAUGCAGUCCAAAAUGGGUGGUAAAUUUCAUCUAAAGCUAAAUACUGGCGAGAGACCGAUAGCGAACAAGUACCGUGAGGGAAAGAUGAAAAGAACUUUGAAAAGAGAGUUAAACAGUACGUGAAAUUGUCAAAAGGGAAGCGUUUGACACCAGUGUUGUUUUUCUGAAAAUCAAUUAAAGAACUGUUUAUGCUAAGCUGUUUAGACUUUAUCAGCUAUCUGUUUAGUUUUGAGCUUUUCUUUAAUGCACUUUUCAGUUAACAAGUCAACAUCAAUUCCUUUUGCUGUAAAAAAGCUUGAGGAAGGUGGCUUGAGAUUCGUCUUAAGUGUUUAUAGCCUCUUGCCUAUGCAGUCGGAGAGAUUGAGGUCUGCAGCGUAGAUCCUUCGGGGCUAAAUGCAUUUGUGCUAAGUUAUAGCAUUUUAUAGACAACUUGUUGACUAUGAUUUGUCUUGUAGCUUACUCGCUUAUGUUAUUUUACCUACGCUUAGGAUGUUGACGAUCAGCUGAGCGCG
rnacentral:rRNA from 1 species